AGGGCACCUGAUUGGUUAGGAGAGUAUAGCGCUGCGGGGUCACGGUGCCUCCGCAGAGCCAACGCCAAGCCUGAGAGUGGAGAAGGUACAUGAGCUGUGACGGUGCCGAAUUUCUGUGCCCCUUGAAUGUGGAACAUUUGGUCAUCAAAGAAGAUGUGAGGCCUUAUCUUCACCAAGAUGGGACCUUUAGGAGCUCCAGCAAGGAAAAGAGCUUCAUCUAUUUCUAGACCCCAUCGGCGAAGGGUUUUCAGCACGCGGGCUCCUGAACUGGCUGCACUCCUGGCUGUAACCAGCUUCCAGUCUAUCAGAGAGGGAAUCAAGCACAUGCAUGACUGUAGCACAAGUGCGUGCCAUGACCAUUCUAAGAGGAGUGGACACAAAGCAUCAUGCUCGAGGGUCCAAAGGUGAGAUGGUAAGAAUAAAGUUAGAAGGGCCUGAAGAAAACGACUUCCUGGAGAAGGUAACAUGGAGGUGAGUGAGUGGGCAGUGCAUGAGUGUGGUAGGGCUGCUCUAACAAAGUAUGACAAACUGAGUGACUUAAAUAACAGAAGCUUAUUGUCUCAUAGGUCUGGAGGCUAGAAGCCUGAGAUCAAGGUGUCAGCAGGGUUGAGUCCGUUUGAGGGCUUUGAGGGAGAAUCUGUUCCACAUCUCUCACUUAGCUGCUGGUGGUUUGCUAGCAAUCUAUAGCAUUCUUUGGCUUGUAGAAGCUUCUCCCCAUUCUCUACUUUCAUGUUUGCAUGGUUUUCUCUCUGCGUGCAUGUUUCCAUGUCCAAAUUACUCUUGUUAUAAGGACAUCGGUAAUAUUGGAUUAGGGAUUCACUUUACCCCAGUAUGACCUAAUCUUAACUAACUACAUCUGUGAUGAACUAUGUCUAACUAUGGUCACAAUCUGAGGCUUUAGGCGUUAGAACUUCAAGAUAUGAAUUUUAGGGGGAGACACUUCAACAGAUAACAGGUAGGUUUUCAGGAGGCAGAGAUUACAGGAGGGGAAUAAGAGGGAAGGCCCUCCCAGAAGCAAGAAUAAUGUAUACCUCUGCUUUUAAUAAACUUUUAAGUUACUUACUCCCUGAUGAUUCUCUUUGCUAUUCUUAUCUUAAUAGUUUGGUUAUUUAGUUCCCUUGCCAAAAAUGACCUCCUUUCUCCCUGCCUCCUCCUUCCUCCUCCAGCACUGUCUGUUGAAUCCUACGUGAUUGUGACUUGAAGAGGCACUACCUUCUGGACAACCUGGGCCUCUGCCUAGGGGGUCCACUCUGGUCUUCCCGAGCCAUGCUUUUCCCUACAAGGUUCAAAAUCAAUAGGGCCAAAAGGCUUAUGUCUUUCCUGAGUCCACAUCUUACCCUCUUCUGCAUUCUACACCACACCAAGUGUUUUUCUAGAACCUGCUUGGAAAACCUUCCCAGGUCAGUCCUUCAGAGGGUGGACCAUGCAGCUCAAGGGCAUGUCCCUUGAAGAUGGUGGUGUGAGGAGAAUAGAAGUCACCCUAAUUGUACUGUUCUUCAUUCUCUAAGUGGUAAGGGUGGGGUUGCCUGUGAGAACCAGGUCAAACACCGCUUCCCUUUCCUGCAUGGAGCCAUUCCUGACCCUCUCCCUUAUUCAAAUAUCCUAAGACGCUAUCCUGCUCCACUCCUCAGCCUCUGUCCCCACCCUCCUUACCAGGCAUCUUGUUGGAACCUCUCCAAGACCACAGACCACAUUUUAUCGUAGUCAUAUCUGUAUUUGUCCUAUUUCCCCUCUUCUCUUUCUCUUCCUCUGCCCAUAAUUGUCUCCUUCCCUGCACUAACCUCUAAGCUUCUUAGAGGUAGAGACUGUGCUUUCUCAUCUUUUUAUGUAGUGCAGCUGAAUAUGUAGAUACUGAGAAAAUAUUCAUUGAAUACAUUCAGAGAGUUCUGAAUGAAAUAUGAGAUUUCUCAGACGCUGGAAGGAAGCUUCGUGUAGUGGAAAGAGCAUGUUGGGCAUUCUGGAGUAGGACGGUGUUGGAUUGUGCUGUACCAUUUAUACCAGUAAACAGGAAGGGUCACUUCUUAGCUCUUUCAAACCUUAGUUUCCUCCUUUGUUGAAAGAGGCUAAUAGCAGCCUCUAGUAGGAAUUACUUAAUUGAUCAUGAUGACAGAAGGACAAAGCACAAGAUUAGCCUGAGAAGUGUCUUGCUAACCUAUUCUAGACUAAUACUCUAGCCACCCAUCAGAAUUAUCUGAGGGUAAUUUAAAUUUAGAAGCAUCCAGGCCCAGCUCCAAAAGCUGACUCAGUAAGCUUUGGGUGAACCUUGUUAAUCAGCAUUUUUAUAAAUACCCCUCAGUGAUGCGACUAUGCAACUAAAGUUGGGAACCACUUCUCUGGACUAUCAUUACUGAUUUCAGGAUCUUUCAUAAUUAAUGAGCAUUGUGGAGCUCUGGUAGAGACUGAGAGUUUAUCCCCUUUUUUAUUACCAUAAAACUCUAAUCACAGAUUACCUCAUGAAGUUUAUGUUUUACAAAACGUGUGUUAUAACUGUUAUAUGAAAUAUUUCAGGUUUCAGUAAACUUACAGGUGAUCACUUUUCCAUAUUUGACUGUAUCAAACAAAAUAAAAUAGAUUGAUUCUUUAUUGAGAAACAAAACACAGGGUUGUAUUUUUAAAAAAAUAGAAAAAAUCCAUAGUUUUCCACUAAUUUUAAUUAAGAUUUUUGCUAACUAUGUACACUUUAAUAAUUCUUUUAGCUAAAAAUGUGAACUUAUUUUUUUAGCCAUAUAUCUUAAUGUCUAGUAGAUACAGCUGUUUGUAUGACUUGCUGAUUCCUUGAUUUCAACUAAAUUCCUUGCCCUGUUUCUUCCUCUCUUUUCCUGAUAAUUCCCUCCAUAACAAGAGGACAACAGUCCCCUAAGGAAUAGUGAUUUCUCUUCUGUCAGUUGCACCCCUUUUGGCGAAUCUCCCCCAAACUGGAAGCUCCACUUCAGUUUGAAUUGCUCCAUUGUCUUCACACUCCAAGUAAGCCUCAGGCCCUGACAAUUAUUCCUUCAUACGUUUUCCAGGCUGUGCCACUCUUACUCCUUUUCCACUGCCACCCGGUCACGCCUCUGCCGUCCAUUCACAUUCCCUAUUUGUUAUGGACUGAACUGUGUCCCCGUAAAUUCGUAUGUCGAAGCUCUAACUCCUUAUAUGAUGAUGUUUGGAGCUAGGGCCUUGAAAGAGGUAAUUAAGAUGAGAUGAAGUCUUAAGCAUGGAGGCCUAAUCUGAUGGGACUGGUGUUCAUGGAAGAGAAAGAGACAUGAGAGCACCUUCUCUCUCUCUCUGUCUCUCCCGUUGUGUGCAAAGAGGAAAGACCAUGUGAGGACACGAGAGAAGGUGACCGUUUACAAGCUGGGGAGAGAGGCCUCACCAAAAACCAACGCUGCUGGAACCUUGAUCUUGGACUUCCAGCUCCUAGAACCGUGAGAAAAUAAAUUUCUGUUGUCUAAGACACCCAGCCUGUGGUAUUUUACUGUGGCAGUCCAAGCUGACUAAUGCACAGUUUGUCACUGUGUGCUUAGAGGAACCAGCUUCCCUCUUUCCAGACCACCCUGCACGAGUGUGCACCAUCAGCACAGACGCUAUAUUAAUUUUCUGUUGCUGCAUAACAAUAUACACACACUUAAUGGCUUAGAACAGCGCCCAUUGAUUAUCGCACAGUUUCUGUGAGUCAGUAGUACAGUGACAGCUCAGCUGGGUCCUCUGCUCAGAGUCUCACAAGCUGCCAUCAAGAUGUUGGCUAGAACGGCAGUUUCAUCUGCAGAGUAGAAUGCUCUUUCCAGCUCACAUGAUUUUUAGCAGAAUUCAUUUCCCUUCAGCUGUGGAACUCCUGGUGGCUCCUUCAAACUCGGCAGGAGAAUCUCUGAAUUUUCCUCUCUCUUUUAAAGAGCUAAUCUGAUUAGGUCAGGCCUACCCAGUAUAAUCUUCUUCUUUUUUUUUUUUUUGAUUGAUUCAGAAUCAACUGGUUAAGGUCCUUUGUUACGUCUGUAAAACUCACUUCACCUUUGGAAUCCAUUAUGUGCAGACGUCCUGCCCAAACUCAAGGGGAGAGGAUUACACAUGGUGUACAUACCCAUACCGGGGGUAGGGGGAGAAUCUUGGAGGGCCAGCUUAGAUUUCUGCCUACCAAAGAUAUAUUUCCUUGGUUACUAUUUAGCAUGAAAGACUAUGCACAAAGCAUUGAUAUGUAGUUUCAGCUUGCUCAAGCUUAAAACAGUGUACAAAGGAAAAGAUGGCAAUGCGCGCCAACAAGCAUUCAUGCUAUAGAAGUGGUACAUGGUCAAACGUGCCAGGAGUUCUGAGGAGCUACCCGUGGCCAGACUAAAGGUUUGUGGAGAGCAUAAAAUAUCAGCUGGGCCUUUAAAGAUGAGCUGAAUUUAAACUGUCAGAAGGAAUACUUGUGCUGUCAGGGCAUAAUAACAUUUGCUUUACUUUACACUGCCUACUUUUACUUAUAAUAUUUUUAUUGAGUUGAAUUAAAUGUUGCUAAAUAUUCAUUUACUGUAACAAUUUCGAUUGCUCGCCUACAGUGUACCUGUCUCUAUAAUGCAGUCUUUUUAACCUGUUACUUGUUUUGGAAUAGUCCACUUAGAAAGUGGGUAGCAAGAUAGAGAGAGGAGUGUAUACAGUUAGCCACUGCCCGUUUACCCUUUACUUCAAGGGGCAAGCUGGUCACUUCCUCUUUCCAGCUGGAAAUGCCUUUAUUUGUAAGUUGAAAGUUUAGGUGGAACAAUUUAUAAGGUGCUUUCUCUGACUUCCUCCCUCGCCCAGAUUUCUUUGACAUCCCAGAAUAAAGCCUCCUAUUUUAUACCUUUCUGUAGUAUUUGCACCUCUGCUUCAUAAGCUUCAUCUCACUUUUAAUUACUUUUCAAAAGUUUAUCCCUGCUAGAUUUUAAAGUAUCCAUGGUCAUGGAAUAUAUCUCAUUUACCACUGGAUCCCAGUACCUAGCUCAGCGCUUGAUGUGUAAUAGGUGCUCGAUAGUUAUUUAUUGACCAAAUGAACAAUCAUUUAUGAUCCCACCAAAGUAAUAUGCUCUUAUUUCUCUAUGCUCAGUCAAUAUUUAAAAUAACGAAGCAGUGAUGAGGUAUUUUCAACUUUAUGUGAUUUGGGCCAGUUAAUAAACACUACCUAUUAGAAUAUUAUAAAAAUGUUGGUCUUGUUUUCUCUGAUGUGCUGGGCAGAGCUAAUGGUGGCCCUGCCUGUGGAAUACACUGGAAUAGGAUGUGGUAGGGUCAAAUAGACUCCUCAAGGAUGCUCAUUCAAAGUGGCCAGAGGAAUCAUAUUAUAAUAAGAGCAGUACUGUUGAGAGAAACCAAGAUUGAAGCUAAGGAAGUGAUAGUAAGUGACAAAUUCAGCAGCUAAGGUGAGGAUGAAAAUGGGCAGCGAGUUUGGUAGACACAUGUUGGAAGGCAGUAUGAAAUCAGCAGCAAGAAAGAGACCUGAGACAGUGGUUUAGAAGUUAAACAGUGAACAAAAGAACGUGCAGGCUCCCUUGUCUUACGUUGUACCUGGUGUGCCUGCAGGCAGAGGGGCAAGUGUGGGACUGGUGACCUAGGAAAUUACACAACAUAGGGAAGUUUUUAUGCCCUAAGUAGAUCCUUUCUGUGAAUUUAUACCGUACUACUCUCUGAUAUUUACAGUACUCAACUUCAAAAUGUGCCAUAAUCAGAUAACUCACUUAAAAUUCCGUUUUAUUUAGAAACUGAAACAUUUUCCCAUGGACUCAAUUUUAUUUGACGGUUGAUUAGAUUUUGUAGACCAGUCAAGAGCACUAUUUAAUGUGUAUUUUACUAAGAAUAUUUUAGAAAUGUUUAUAUGGUUUGGUUUUUGGGAAAUCAAGCAUAUUUUCUCUUUUCAGAUUGCUUUAUAGGUAUUAGUUCUAAUCUAUGUAUUAUGCUUACCAGGUUUUCAGUCAUAAAUAACUAAAAUACUUCUGUAAGUUAGUUACCACUGUUUUGUUUGAAAUUAUUAUUCUUUAUCAUUUCUUCAUCUUGUGGGAGUAAGUGCAUUCAUUUCCAUUUUAAGCCUCCAUUUGGUAUUAAAAUUAGAACAACUUCUUCAAAUCCUGUAGUUUUUAUCUUGAAUAAAUAUUGCCAAAUUUUCAUUGAACACCUUGGCUUAACUUUAGUUUUGGAAAGUCAUCAAAAUCUUUUCCUUUGGGCCUGGCCCUGCGGCCAAGUGGUUAAAGCUCUGCACACUCUGCUUCGGCAGCCCAGGUUCGUGGAUUUGGAUCCCAGGCAC